rnacentral:tRNA from 1 species
GGGAUUGUGGCUCAGUGGUAGAGUACUUGCCUGGCAUGCAUGAAGCACUGGGUUCCAUCCCAGUACCA